UACGUAGGGAGCAAGCGUUGUCCGGAAUCAUUGGGCGUAAAGCGCGCGUAGGUGGCCUCAUAAGUCCGCUGUGAAAGUCCAAGGCUCAACCUUGGAAAGCCGGUGGAUACUGUGAGGCUAGAGUACGGAAGAGGCGAGUGGAAUUCCUGGUGUAGCGGUGAAAUGCGUAGAGAUCAGGAAGAACACCGGUGGCGAAAAGCGCUCUGCUGGACCUUAACUGACACUGAGGGACGAAAGCUAGGGGAGCGAAUGGG
rnacentral:rRNA from 1 species